UACAGAGGUCUCAAGCGUUGUUCGGAUUCAUUGGGCGUAAAGGGUGCGUAGGUGGCAUGGUAAGUCGGAUGUGAAAUCCCGGGGCUCAACCCCGGAACUGCCUUCGAUACUGGGUAUCUUGAGUUCGGAAGAGGUGAGUGGAAUUGCGAGUGUAGAGGUGAAAUUCGUAGAUAUUCGCAGGAACACCAGUGGCGAAGGCGGCUCACUGGUCCGAUACUGACGCUGAGGUGCGAAAGCGUGGGGAGCAAACAGG
rnacentral:rRNA from 1 species